rnacentral:tRNA from 1 species
GCCGAAGUGGUGGAACUGGUAGACACGCACGUUUGAGGGGCGUGUGGGCGACCAUGCGGGUUCGAGUCCCGCCUUCGGCACCA